AUUUUAGGUGAAGGACUUGUGUCGUUGCACUAUUUCUAUGUGGUAAUUGGUAGCACGUUGGUCUUUCCGUCCACAGAGCUGGCAGUAUCAAGCAGGUGUGGUAGCGACACUGAAUGAACAGGGAGACGCAGCCCUUAAUGCAGUGCCUACGUACCUCCAGGCAAGUGACCUGGAGGACGCGGCAGCCUUGGCCAAGAGGGAACUGCGCUGGACCCUGGUCAGAACAAUGUCCACCACUGAGGAAGAUGAUAAUGGAAAUAAACAGCACCUCUUAGAAGAAUGGUUGUGAAGUUUGUAUAUUAAAUAACAGUGGAAGGAAUUUUAUGAUGUUGCGUUAAUAUUAAUUGUGUUUUUAUAAACAGAUAUAUAUGUAUACAUGUAAGGAUUAUCAUGUGAAGUUGUCUUUUUGAUACAUGUUUCUUUGUCUCUUUGUCUUUUGUGGCAUUUGACUUGAUGUCAAAUGCAUUUUUGUUUUUUUUUACAGAUCUGUUGAUGUUAGAUGAUAUGUAUUGUAACAGAACUUGCCUUUUGUUUUUUAUUCAAUAA